AACUUUCAGCAAUGGAUCUCUUGGUUCUCGCAUCGAUGAAGAACGCAGCGAAUUGCGAUAAGUAUUGUGAAUUGCAGAAUUCCGUGAAUCAUCGAAUCUUUGAACGCACAUUGCACCCUCUGGUAUUCCAGAGGGUAUGCCUGUUUGAGCGUCAUUUCUCUCUCAAAGUUUAUAAUUUUGGUGUUGAGUGAUACUCAAGGUUGUUACAACAAUGGGUUUGCUUGAAAAGUAUUGGCAGUAGGGAGUUACUUUUUCAAAGUGCUUACUGUUUAUCUCAAUGUAUUAGGUCUAACCAACUCGUUGAUAUUUAGGCAGUAAGUGCAAGUUUCUCAGCUCGGCCUUACAAUAGCUUACACAAAGUUUGACCUCAAAUCAGGUAGGAUUACCCGCUGAACUUAAGCAUAUCAAUAAGCGGAGGCU
rnacentral:misc_RNA from 1 species